AUUGAACGCUGGCGGCAUGCCUUACACAUGCAAGUCGAACGGCAGCGCGGGAGCAAUCCUGGCGGCGAGUGGCGAACGGGUGAGUAAUAUAUCGGAACGUGCCCAUUAGUGGGGGAUAGCCCGGCGAAAGCCGGAUUAAUACCGCAUACGACCUGAGGGUGAAAGCGGGGGAUCGCAAGACCUCGCGCUAUUGGAGCGGCCGAUAUCAGAUUAGCUAGUUGGUGGGGUAAAGGCCUACCAAGGCGACGAUCCGUAGCGGGUCUGAGAGGAUGAUCCGCCACACUGGAACUGAGACACGGUCCAGACUCCUACGGGAGGCAGCAGUGGGGAAUUUUGGACAAUGGGCGAAAGCCUGAUCCAGCCAUGCCGCGUGAGUGAAGAAGGCCUUCGGGUUGUAAAGCUCUUUCGGCUGAAAAGAAAUCGCACAGGCUAAUACCUUGUGUGGAUGACGGUAUCAGCAUAAGAAGCACCGGCUAACUACGUGCCAGCCGCCGCCGUAA
rnacentral:rRNA from 1 species